rnacentral:rRNA from 1 species
UCUGGUAUGAAAAGUUUGACGAGAUAUUAACUGUUUCAUAAAAAUUUAUAAUAGAAUUUUAUUUUUUAGUCAAAAAGCUAAAAUAAAUUUAAAAGACGAGAAGACCCUAUAAAUCUUUAUAUUUAGGUAAUUAUAAUUUUCAGGAUUUUUUUUGUUAUGAUUGCUAAUAAUAUUUUAUUGGGGUGAUAUUAAAAUUUAAAAAACUUUUAAUUAAUAAAAUCAUUAAUUAAUGAAUAAUGAUCCGUAUNNNCGA